rnacentral:lncRNA from 1 species
AUGAAAAUGCAAUUACACGAGGCUAGGCGUCUUCAAACAAUAAAUAUUCAUAAAUCCGCAAGACAACAGUUAGGUACAACGGAAAACAUCCGCCAACGGCGGCUCCCGGUGCGACUCCGGGCCCAGAAAAAGCAGGCUUUUCCUGGAGGGGGUGCGGAGGCAGGCCGGGACUGCUCGCCAGGGGAGCGCCUGGGGAAGGCUGGGAUGUCAGGAGCGGGGAAGCGUGGGGAGCACACGCCAGCUGGCAGCGGCGGAGGCAGCCCCAGCCUGCCGAGGAGCGCGGCCGGCCAGGGGCUGUCAGGAGGGAGCGCGUUUGGGGAGGCUGAAGCGCGGCAAACUCCGCCGGCCGGCGGGAGGCUCCGGCCGGGGGCACCGCCGCGCAGCCGGCAGCGGGGGCAGCGCCUUCGCACGCACCCAACUUUGAGCAGCCCCGCGAGGGGACGCGGGGCCGAGCCCGCGGGGGGCAGCGGGGGGCAGCGCUCAGGCCCCGGCCCCGCCGCCCCCGGCAGCGCCCGCUCCCCGCGCGGCCCGCCCGACACAAAGGGCAGGCGGCGGCCGCCCGCCCGCCCGCCCGCUCGCUCGCUCGACCCCGGCCCGGCCCGGCCCCGGCCGCCGCCGCGCUGUCAGCCCCGCCGCGGCCCAGCCCCGCGGCCCCGCACGUGGGCGAGCCCCGCCGAAGUUUGCUCGCCGGGGCCGGGCCGCGGAGGCCGGCCGGGAGCCUCCCGCCGCCGCCGCUCCCGGGGCGGGCGGAGCGGAGCGGAGCGGGGCGGCCCGGAGCGCCGAGAGCGCAGGGCUCCGGCUGCCGGCGGCGGGGCCGCCCGCCCUGCCCGCGGGGCGGCAGCAGCGGCGGCGGCGGGAGGCACCCGCGGGGAGGGCGGAGGGCGAGCGGGAGGGGCGGGCCCCGGCGCGGCCGGGCGGCACUCACCCACGCAGGCGGCUCCUCCGCGGGCCACCGCCGCCGCCGGGGCCCCGCGCAGGCCUCACCCCGCACCGGGCACCAACGGCCGCAACAUGGCGGCGGCGGCGGCGGGCGGGGCCGGGGGCGGGGCGGGGCCGGGACGGGGCACGGCGAGACCGCCCCCCCCACCCCCCCUCUCCCGGCCCCGCGCCGCCGCCGGGCCCCGCCGCCGCCGCCGCCCCCGCCCCGCCUGA